rnacentral:lncRNA from 1 species
GAGAGAACAACCGGUAGCCGGCGGGAAGUUACUUGCAUAAUGACGGAUGCUGUUAUCUGUUCUCCGCUUGGAAAAAUGGCGGAGGAUAUGAAUGUUCCAUGGAUAGCCUUUAUGGUACCUCAUCCAAAUGAUCUUGUUUGCUAUUUUGAGAUGGAUAAAAUUCAAAAGCUUUUCGCUAAUGCUAAAAGCGAAAAUGAUCAUGUAGAUGUUAUUCCUGGAUUAUCUUCCUUACCUUUAAAGAUUUACCCCAUGAAAUACAUUUAAGCAAGCCAAGUAAUGAACUUGUGCUAUAUUUAUAUCGUAUGGCACAAAAACUACCACAAGCAAAAGCUCUUUUGUUGAAUACCUAUGAAGAACUAAACCCAAUUCCUCUCACAAAUUAUCUAAAAUCAAAAGUUAAGAACUUACUCUAAAUAGGUUGCUUAACUUCAUCGAUUACACAGGAGAAUGAUGGUAGUUCAACUUCUGCAGGUUGUUUAUUUUCAUGGCUCGAUAGACAAAAAGUUGGUUCUGUUGUCUAUAUGUCUUUUGGAACAGUUGUAGAAUUGGAUAGUGAAGAGUUAAUGGCAUUAGCUGAAGCAAUUGAAUUUAGUGGCAAGCCAUUUCUCUGGUAUCUUAAAGACAAAUGCAAAGAAAAUCUUACAGAAGGGUUUCUUGAAAGAACAAAAGAGAAAGGAAUGGUGGUUUCUUGGGCACCACAGAGAGAGAUUCUGCAACAUGGUUCAGUUGGUGUGUUUGUAAACCAUGGAGGGUAUCAUUCAUUGCAGGAGAGUACAUUGGGUGGAGUGCCAGUGAUUUGUAGGUCACAUUUCAGCUGUCUACUUAAAAUAUUUAAAUGGACCUAAGCUAGAAGCAUUUUCUAAUACGAAUUCCAAAUUGCAAUUUGCACUAUAUAAGGAAUGCUCAUUCUCUUGUUAUUAAGCCAAGCAAAAAAGAGUUGAAAAAAAGAAACUAGCCAUUUUUAGGUAAUUGCGUGCCAAAAAUGGUUCAAGGGGAUGACAGUACCCGAGGAUCAAGUUCAAGUGAUCAAUCGCAGAUGAAUAUCCCAGGGGCAGGCGAUGCACAAACAAGAAAUGCUCAUGGAGGAGAAAAUUCCCAGGUGGGGAAUGCAUCUGGUGGCAGUACACAAGCUGAAAAUUCACAGUACACGAGCCAGCAAAUGGUUUACAGCGUAGGACCUCAGUCCUGGAACCCUCAUGGUUUAAACCCUUAUAUUUGGGGAAACCCUUACAUGGUGAAUCCUAUGUGUGGGAACCCGUGCUUGAUGAACCCUUAUUGGGUUCAUCCUUCCCAGGUAGUUUGUGCUAACCCUAAAUGUUGGCACCCACAAUGUGUAACAGCAGAAGAUGGAUGUCAUAAAACAACCAGAUUUCGUUUCACAAGAGGAAAAUAGCCAAGACCCUCCAAGCAGGACUGUCCAAGAUCCCAAACCAGAGAACGUCCCACAAAAGAGAAAUGUUCAGGCAAGAAAAUCUGAAAAAGGUAGUUCAAAAAAUGACAUUAUAAAGCAUCAGAAUGGAUCAACGGUUCGUUCAUUAGUUCUAGAACUGCCAAGAAGAAGGAUCGUAAUCUUUGAUAGGGCUGCCGCUUUUUGGCCGCCAGUUAUCAAACUAUCUCCCACGCCCAGGGAGAUAUGGGGUGUUAAUAUAUUGGGGUUUGUCCUUAUUUGUUCUCUUGAUGGCCUUUAUGAUUUAUGGUUAUGUUACGGGAAAUUUUCAUUUUGAAUUUGAAAUGUAAUGAGGAAAUCAUCGUUCGUGACACGCAGUGCAGAAAGCCAUGUUCUAAUGAUCAUCGAAGAAGCCAUGUUUCCUGCAAUUUUAUGAUGUAUUAUCUUUUUCAAUUCAAUAAAAACUUAUUACAAGAGAAAAUCUUACUUGGCCAAAAGAAAGAUAUUGAAAAUAGAUUGAAAUUUUACUUUGAAUUAAGUUGAAAUACUAAUUAGUAAACUGGUUAAAUUUGACAAGUUUGUUGAAUCAAUUCUAUUUAGAAUUCCAUUUACAAACGAAUAUUCAUAUUGUAAUAAAAUCUAAAAUAUAUUUACAUAAAGAGAAAAAAUAAUGAAAAUAAAGAGAUAGGGAUGAGAGGAAGAAGAAGAAUUAGAAGAUGGAGAGGAAAGAUAGAAAAAGAAGAGGAAAGAGAGGGGGGAGAGAAAAGAAAAGAAAAGAAAAGAAAAGGAUGGAAAAUGAGAAGAUGAGCAUUUAUGGGAUUGAAUUCAUUUAUUAAUUUUAAAUAUUAAAUAUAAUUAAUAAUAUAUCCAAAUUGUCAAAAAUAUGAUUCUUUUUAUUUGUUUAUGAGAACUUAAGUAUAAAUAUUAUGCAAAAAUUUGAUCACCAUUUAAUAAAAAACAUCCAAUAAUGUUAUGCAGAUUUUAUUUUGGUUUACAUAAGUAAGCCAAAAAAAAAAAAGAGUUUUUAUUAGCAAGGAAGAACACUCCAAUUGUGGAUAAUUAUAUAAUUAUUAUAUACUUAAGAAAAAAAUUGUCUAUUCUUCUUAUUAAGGUCAGAAGUUCGAGUUGUAAAAAAAAAAAAAAAAAAUUAUAGAGAGACAUAUUGAAACUUAAAACGAGGAUAAUGUUAAUUUAUAAUCCUUGUUAUAAUCUUUGUUCUUAUUAAAGAUAAAUAAAAUUUUACUAUUUAUAUAAAAUAAUUCUUCCCAUUUUACUAUUUCAAUAUAUAUAUAUAUAUNNNNNNNNNNNNNNNNNNNNNNNNNNNNNNUUUCUUUAUAUAUAUAUAUAUAUAUAUAUAUAUAUUAAUUUAUUAUUCUCUAUAUUAAUUGUUUCUUAGAAAUUAACAUAAAAUAUGAAUUUUCUAUGUUAAUCAAGCUUUCUUUCCUUUUUUUUUUUUUCCCUUUUAAAAUGGAGAGCAAAGAUUAAAGAAUUACAAGUAUAUUUUAGGAUAAGCUAAAAUCAAGUUUUCUUUUCUUUUUUUUUUUUUAAAUCAUCCGGUAUCCGGCACAGCUGACUAAUUCGGAUUCGAGUUCUACAAACACCCAUUAUGGAGGGUAACAGUUCCAACUCAGUUUUCUCUAUUCACUCCCGAAUAUUGCUUAAAAGAUCAAGCUUUCUUUAAUAAUAUUAUUUUUCUCAUACAAUUGCUUGCUCCUGUUUUUUUUCUUUUUUAGUAUAAUCAUAGAUAUCUCUAACCAACUAAGUUAGGACUAAAUUCUGCUCAAAUCAGGUCAGUCCCAUUAAGGAGCGGUGGCAUUCAUUCAUGAAAAUCGAUUCUUUUGCAUUGAACUAUUCAUCGAUUACGAUUGCUACUAUUUAACACGUUAAUAUGCACCUGCAUAAAUAAACUUGUUUUUAGUUUAAUUCAUAUUAGUUAGGUAUGUUAUGGAGGUUGCUCAGCAAAUGCAUAAUAGAGUUUAUUACCUAAACUAAGUUUGCUUAGUCAAACUAACGAACGGAGGUUGAGAAAGUUAGCUACUACAGAGUAUAGAUCCCUGUAUAAAAUGCAAUCAAUACCAUUUCAAACAAGAACAAAAACUAAGAGCGAAACCAAAAGGAAAAGACAAAAAAAAAAAAAAAAAAUCUUUCUAUCUUAUUUCCCAAAUCUCUCUUCACAAUGCCAUCAACCCAAAGCUCAUCGCCACAAAUAGCAGCAAGUCAUGUAGCUGUGUGCACAUGGCCAUUUAGUAGCCAUCCAUUAGGUUUCUUCAACUUAGUUCGUAAAUUAGCCACAGAAGCUCCUCAAACUCAGUUUUCUUUCUUCAGCUUACCGAAAACAAACUCCAUUAUCAAGUCAUCUCAAAAGAACUCUCCAUUACCAACUAACCUCAUGUCCUACGACGUAGACGAUGGCAUUCCGGAAGGAGUUAAUCACUUAACAAUAGAUCAUGCCGUGGAAGUCAGGCAUUUCCUCGAACAGUUACCGUACAACUUCGAACACCGUAUUGAAGAAGUGCUGGCGGACACCGAGAGAACAACCGGUAGCCGGCGGGAAGUUACUUGCAUAAUGACGGAUGCUGUUAUCUGUUCUCCGCUGGGAAAAAUGGCGGAGGAUAUGAAUGUUCCAUGGAUAGCCUUUACGGUACCUCAUCCAAAUGAUCUUGUUUGCUAUUUUGAAAUGGAUAAAAUUCAAAAGCUUUUCGCUAAUGCUAAAAGCGAAAAUGAUCGUGUUGAUGUUAUUCCUGGAUUAUCUUCUCUACCCUUUAAAGAUUUACCCCAUGAAAUACAUUUAAGCAAGCCAAGUAAUGAACUUGUGCCAUAUUUAUAUCGUAUGGCACAAAAACUACCACAAGCAAAAGCUCUUUUGUUGAAUAC